AGACCCAAAUUCCAGACCAAUCCUCAUCUAUAUAGUAGAGAAGCUCAUCCCCUGCACUCUGGGUGUGCUGAUCCCUGCGAUUUUCCCAAAUGUAGGAAACUUGACUGCAUAAUUUGUGGUAGUGGGGGACUGUGUUUGCGCUCUCCCCCC
rnacentral:snRNA from 1 species